GUCCAUGCUCACACUGCCUGCGACGGCAGUAACGAUUAUGCUGGUAUAAUAAAUAAAGCCAGGCUCAGACGGCGGCAACUAGACCUAAAGAGAGAUCCAUGGUGGCGGGCCGUAAAGUGCAACAGUGACGGAGUUCCGCCGGAAACGGCGGAAGUGGAACGAUGUAAACCCCAUAAGUGAGAAACCCAAAUUUUGGUAGGGGAAUCCGAAACCGCGAAAUGAAGCGGCCAGGGACGCGCAAGCGUAGAUAAAUGAUUGCCACCUGCUCAGCAGGGACAGAACAUGGCUUACGGUU
rnacentral:RNase_P_RNA from 1 species